GCGGAUCAAACCACCCUUAUCCUAUUCCGAUUCCCUUCCUCUUGCGCUUUCCCUCCAAGAAAAGAAUAAGAAAACAAAGAAGAUUUUUUUUUUUGGACAAAUUCUUCAACUUUUUCUGCAAGCAAAACUUUCCCUUUAUAUAAGGGCCAUCAAACCCAUUAGCCUCUCCCUCCAAGCGAAAUAUUGUACCCAGGCGGUGACCACAUCCUCUCCCUCUUCAUUGUUCUCAUCGUCAAGAAUUCAGUUACUGAUUCAAGAAAAUGGCAUCUGAUAAAGUUCAGCCAGUAGAAGAAGCACAAAAAAUUGAAACCCAUGAAGCUCAACAGAACAUGGAACCUUGUUGGAAGAAGAAGAGAGAGGAUGGGGGAUUCGUAGAGAACAUGAAGGACCACUUUGAUGAGUUUGUGAACACUUCAAUGGACCAACAUAGGAUUUGUCUCAAGAAGACUAUUCGUGGAGUCGGCUACAAGCUGAAGAAAACUCGCUCUAUAUUUGGAUCAAGCAAUAAUGAGCACGGUUUGGGUGUCAAAGAAGUAGAGAGCUCCAAAUAGACAUAUACUCGCAGGAGUAAAGCAUACCAAUAUUGGAAUAAAUAUUCUGUAAAAUAUUUACAUUUGGACUCCGCUUUAAUACUUGCAUUAUGACUUAGGGAGCCAUGGGCCAUUGAAUACACUGCAUAUAUUUUGCAAUGCGUUGUCUUUUGGAUUUACAUUUCUUACUGAAAGUUGUAAAAUUUGAUAGUAGCAUGCAAGAUCGUUACUGAAUCAAAUGAUUUGUAUCAAUUCCCCCUUAUUUAUUGGUAAAGGGAAUUAAUUUACUAACAUUUUAGCUGA